UCGGACCGGUCCCUUGGGUUCUGUCACUGGGCACCAGAGAGAAGAGAUUGGUGCCUGUACCUCCUUCUCCUCUCGUGAGGAAGCUGUAGACUGCUAGAAGGGUUUUGAAGCUUUUCAAGUUGUUACACAGAACACGGCAAGAAGUUUUUAAAAAUGAUACCAGAGCCCUUGAAGCUGCAAGACAAAAGAUAAAUGAAGAAUUCAGAAACAACCGAGAUGAGACAUCUGAAGAGAAGAUUAAUGAGCUUCUGAAAAUAGCUUCAGAUGUUGAAGUGAUUCUCAGAACUUCUGUUAUUCAGGCGGUUCACACAGAUUCUGACAAAAUAGUACUCAUACCCAGGAAAGAUCUGCUACAGGACAACACUCCUUACUUAGAUAAACCAACAAAAAAGCAAGAAUCCUGAGGAAAUAUUAUUACCAGGAAAACAGAGACUGAAAUCAACUUACUGAUUUUAUUGCAUGCUGGGAUAUCAUCAUGCAUUUGUUCUGUGGAAGAUAGUAAUGCUUUCAGAGAACUUAGAAGUACACUGCUGAAUUGUGUUACUUCAGCCAGGAAUGUUUCUGACUAUGACAGCUAUCAGACAGAGACUUUUUUUCCCAGCAAUCCAGAAUUUUUCAAAGUUAUAUAAAAAUUAAAUUGAGUACUUGAUACUAAUAAUAUUUAUUUUCAAGUUUAUUGUCAAUCAUAAGCUUCUUUGAAGUGAUGAAAAAUCACCUUAUGGCAUUUAAAGUUAAAUUUAUGCUUUGCACCGAAAGCACGAUUUCUGAAGUUGUCAUCAAUUGUACAGUAGUAUACUGUGAUGCUUGAGACAGUUCUUAAAAGUUUAUCUGAAUAAAUUAUUGGUGUUUUACAGAUG